ACUCGGUCUAGAUAUACUAUGUCUAUGCCGGUUACCAUAGAUUUCUAUAUAUAUUACCUGUGCUGGUUACAGUCGGCCAUAAUGCGGCAAGGAAUGGCAAGGAAAUCAUACGGAACAGCAGCAAGGAGGAUUAAAUUAUACAUUACGGCAAGAGAAUUAUAUGAUGCGUGUCGAUAUAAUUGCAGCAAACCAGGAUACAUAGGAAUACUAUAAAAGGAUCUGCACAAAUAAAAUGAUUGCAGAGGUUUAAUGAAGAGUAAACAAAAAAAAAAUGAGACAAAUAUAUACUGCACAUAGUUCUCUAAUGGUAGUUCCCCAAUUUCGAUAAAACAUUUAAUAAGGGUUAUAAUUUAAAGUUAACAAAAAUUGCUUAUAAAAAAACGUAAAAGGGGAGAGUACUCUAGUCUAAUAAAUAAAAUAAAUAAGCCUUAAACUCAAGUAUGAAAAAUUGAUAACUGCAAUGGCAGUAAUAAAAUGCACAUGUAAAGGAUACGGCACAUUUAUUAUCUGUAAUGGUUCUUUCAUUCUGUUUUCUUUUCUUCCUUUUUCUUAAGCAAUGUUUCAUAAAUUGACAAUGUUCAUUAUGCAUAUCAGCAUUACAAAACUACGAAUGAUUAUGGAUUGGUAAAAUACGAAACUUGUAAACGAUUGUAUCCAGCGAAAUACGAAUUUUCUGGUACAUAUCAUUUUAGUAUAAACAAUUUUAGUAUCUUUAUAUGCAUCGGAAAAUAUAUGAUAAUACAUAUAUUUUUUGAAAUAACAUAAAUGCCAUAUGUGUAAAUUUAAAAUUAUUUGUAUCAAUAAAGUAACAACUAAAGUUUACAUGCUAUGUCAUCAAUUGCAACGAGUUUUGUUAAAAAAAUUAUUUUCUUUAUUUAGAUUUUUAACGUUAUUUCCUCAUAGAAUCACGCAUAUUAUUCACAAUACAUUGCGCGAAAUUCCGAUUGGGUCAGUAAUUGGUUUCGAUUCGACAACGAUGAGAUUAUGCGGAAACGCGAGUUUCCAAAAAAUAAUACAAUUCUCGUGAUAGAGUUGCAUAUGUGUGUGUGUGUGUGUGUGUGUGUGUAUGUCAAGUAUACAUAAAACUAUAUUAAUAUACUUUAAAAAUAUCGUAUAUAUAUAUAUAUAUCUACCCAUAUUUACCUACAACAUAUUUUCCUUCAUACGUAUAUACAUACAUAUACAUAUAUUACGCGUUGCUUUUUUUUAUUGUUGCAAUCAAUCAUAUGUAUAUAUAUACCGCAAGUAUACAUAAAUCUUCAAGGCACUCCUGAUGUAUAUUACAUUCAUAUUUUACAAGUGUUGUGUUUGUCCAGCAUUUGAUGAACGGGGCAUUUUGACGAGAGACGCAAAACAGAAAUUAUUUUACUAAAUUUAAAAGCGAUAAUUUUAAAAUAUCGCCCUGUGUACGCGCAUUUAUACAACAAACGAAAAAGCGAUGCAGACAUUAUGGAAAUUGGAGAAAUGCAUCUUUUUUUUCUUUUUUUCUCUUUCUUUUUUUUAUAC